UUAGCACUAGCUACACGUAAGAAGGCCGAAAAGGACUCGUCCAUCAAGGAAUAGGCUGCACAACAAAGACAACUCUAAGUGAUGUACCAUGAAAAUACGCGAAAUCGGUUUGAUUGGUUCAGAGUAGGCUAGAAGCGAGAGGGCUCCGCUAACUCGAAAAUGUUUGCAAUUUCUAUAUCUUCGCGAAGCCCAAACAGAAGCAAACGGUGGCAACGGAAGUGAUAUGAGUCUAGAGCUGCGUUCGACCGUUCGUUCAUUUUUAAAACUCUUGGAAGGAUUUUUAAGCAAGCUAGGUGACAGGAACGUGCCAAUGCACUUGGGAUCCGGCAUAUGAGUCCACUGACAGACUAUAUUAUAGUGUGUGUGUACAGAGAGUUUUUCAAAGAUCGCGUGAAAUCAAUAACAACGAACUUGUCAGUGGAAGCGGACACAGACGCAGUGGCGCAUAUGCGGUUAAGCAAAACCUACGGCAGCUAUCGCCUUGCUGAUCGGUUCUAAAGCCUACGCCGGCUAACUCUAGUCACGAGCACGUUACGUUUUGAAGGUGCAGUACUAACCAGGCUUCGAUAGAGGCGGUACGUUUUGUCAUCUGUGUGAUUUCAACGCUCCCUCCAUGUUUAUCGCUAAAAGCUAAGAAAAAAAACGUGUAUGGAAUGAAGAAAGGCUCAUUUGAUUCCUAACAAUGACGCGUCCUAAACAAGCGGUGUGGCCCUCGCAGCUCGCCAAAAUUUGGCUGAACUAUUUAACGCUAGCAAAGCGAAACAUGAACGGCGCAAUUGUCUUUGUCGUUACGCUAUCUACAAGUACUAAUCGCAAGAUACCAAACUUGUUACUGGACUAUUUUUGUUUGUCUCGGUAUCUGGUUAACGAAUAUUGAACAAAAGAUGAAGGAAAAGGCUGAAGGCGAGAGCUAGCAGGCGAAUUUAAAGGUGGAAGAUAAGGUGAAAUACCUGCGAGUAAAAGACGGUGAGGGAUAGGGCAAAAUGAAAACAGCAAGGGGCAUGUCAUUGCAAGUGGAUUAAUCAAUUUAAGGACGACAGGCAGUGCAGUAAGGGAGGCAGUUGCCGAGGCAGAAGGCAGGUUCGAAUAAAUUAACGUUAAACAGUGCAGUCCUCACGAGCAACUAUUAGCUGGCUGGGGGAACAGGAACGAAAAGGAUAUAGUAGCUGCUUUCCAGAGUUAGCUUGGUACAGCGGCAUUGCAGAUGUGCAGGCGGAGUCGACAGUGUUAGAGGCAUCCACCGCAGCUCCAAUUUCUCUGGUGACUCCCUUUGGUCCCAGGGUCCCUCCGAACUCUAGCUGGGCGCGCUCGUGACUAAUAUAAAACUUAUAUUACCAUUUAUUCAAGCCAGAUUUAUCUUCAUCAGUCAAUAUAACGUUGGAGAGGUCUACCAGCUUCACUGCUAUUAACGAAACGUGAGAUUUGUAGCGUUGAUAUUCGAGCUUAAAAGACCAAGGACAGACUGAAAGACCUUUGGAAAGCUAUUAAUAACCAUCCUUCUAGUUUCUGUGUCGUCAAGAUGUACUUUUUUGUCAAUCUGGUUUGUCAUAUGGGGCAAAUCAUUUGGUGUUUCGUCUCGUAAAGAAUGCAUUAACUAGUAAACACGAGAAGAUAAAGGUGGGAAGCUCCAGGAGAACUGAAAAACAGCCGCCGGUUCCGACAGCUAUAGAGCGAUUCGAUCCGGCCCUACCUAGAGAACUGCUCUAUCCGAACUGCGGCAUCCAGGCUCUAGUUUUCAGGUAUUCUAGAGCAAGGGAAAAAAAUUAGAGCGAGGAAAAAUAUAGACCCCUCGUUAAUUAUCGGCAGCGCUUCUUUGAAGGCCAUCGCUUCGGCCUAUCUGCUUUGCCUGAUCGGCCAGUCCCUAAUCGACGCACGAACUUAGCGAGGGGAGAGGUGCUGCUGCCACUUGCCGUCAGCUGCCUCCGAAACGCAAGGAUCCCGCAGAGCUAGUUCUGAAUCGAAACUGACCAGCGGUCUUUCCCCUUCUCUGGGGAUGGAUAUAGAAGUUGAAAUCCUCUUAAAUAUGACAUAGUCCUUGGGGAACGGAGGUUCCUGUCACUGCUCGUAGCGCUCUAGAAGCGCUCCGCACUAAAGCUAGUAGCGGCUUGAUCGGCCAAGAGAAGCACCGCUAUCGCCUUCACCGUGACUGUAGCCGCUCCCGUCACAGAAACAGCACGAGCGGAAACCUCGUUCCGCCUGGUGCGAUUAGAUCCUGAGGCUCUUUUCGUCUUUCUCUGGAAAUGCUCUUCACUAAAGGAAGGUAACGAGGGACGACUGAGUGCACCACACGGCAGCUGUUCAGGGCUUCUAGCAAUGGACAGUGGUAAGCUGCAAGCAGAAAAAGUGAGCGGGAGAGCUGGAUGCUGGCCCAGACAACGCUCAGCCGAAAAUAAGAACUCUAGACAAGUGGAUUAUAGAGACACACUGUUUUUUCCUUGGGGAGAUCGAGAGUUAGUGUUGAGAGCUUAUGCACCGCCAAGGGAAAAUAAGAAAGGAAGAACAAGCACACGCUGUAUUGUUCAUUGCAAUUCGUUUCGUCACAGCCCCAGCUUAGCUUGUAAAUAGAGAUACAGAACACGACUCCUGAAAGUACACACAAUUACAUCAGCUUCGCUAACUUUUAAAUGAAUCAUUUUAAAAUAGCGAAGAACUUCCACCUUGGACGCUGAAACCUAAUAUAUAGUUCGCGAUAACCGAAGCCAGCUGAAAGAGAAAUAGUAGCAUUAGUUUAACAAAAUAUUUAGAAAUGAUUUCUUACAGUAAGCUAUAAGUCAAUCAAAGUAACUAGCAUUCCACAUAAUAAAGCUGAAGUCAUUUACAUUUAUGUCUUGCAAUGCAGAAAUUUUCGUUAUAAACUAGACGAAUGAGAUAGCGGUGCCGUGCACCUUGCCGAAAGCGACGGCGGCGAUGUAUAGCGAGCGUAGGAACACACUACGUGCUCCAGUGGUUCAUUCUAAUACAGAUUACGUACAGCAAAGUUGUAACUUAGACCUCCUGCUCUUAGGGACGAUUCGACUCCUGUUUUUCGACGUACGGAAAACGCUGCCUGGAUUUAAAAAUACGUAUCUAGUGUUUCUAGCGUUGAUUUGACACACGUCCGAGUAGCAAAAAGCUGC
rnacentral:lncRNA from 1 species